AACGACAGGAAAUAAAACAGGAACAAAUGAACGCUAAGCUGUUCUUCAUAAUCUGCUAGUUGGCAGCAAAAAAGGCACCUGAAACACCACUAAACAAAAGAAAUCCAGUAGCAACUAAAAAGAAAACAAUCACCAAAAAACCUUAAAAAGAACCAAAUCCAAGUAGACCUCCUGACAGACAUAGAAAUAAUGCAUUUGUUCAAUACCCUUUAGCUUACCCCCAAUCUUCUCAUACCCCAAAGUCCGACGAUCACUUUCUACAGCAAGAAGCAUAAAAUCAAGCACUCUUUCAUGCAGGUAAGUAGUACUCGACCCUCUCAAACCCUCUCUAGCCAACAAAUAAGAAAUUAUGUUCCCAGUACGAAGCAAAAGCGUAAAAGAGCAGCGACGAAAAAAACCAGCCUUCUCCUUAAUAUUCCGAAUAGGGCUGAGUUAUCACGCAGAUAGGAAAGAACCUUCUGAAUCAUAGUCAAGGAAUUGCCUUCAAUAAUUACAUCGCGAAAGCCUAGAUCUAGACCUAAGGUGACAGCUUGGAGGCAUCCAAGGGCCUCCACCGCAAAAAGUGAAGGAUGUCCUUGAAUGAACAUGCUACACCACGUCAAAAUUGAUUUUCAGGCAGCAGUCCUCUGGAGGCCUCCAACGCUCAACCUCAAUCAGGUGACCAGGUCAGUCCAAAUACCACUUACGGAUGGGUGGUCACAAAAGAUAUGUUCGAGGGAUUCAACAGCCACCAAAAAUCGAGGGCACAAAGCAUUUGCGCGGAGCCUCCGAUUGUAUAGAUUAGAAAAAAUAGGAAUAAAGUUGUUAAAAAUUAGCCAAAUUGUAAUUUUAAUUUUUUCAGGCAGUUUUUGUAACAGCCCGAUUUAUGGCCUAGUCGGAAUAGUGGUCUCGGGACCACAAAUCUAAAGUUAAAAAAAUUAUUUUAUUAUUUUUAUGAGGUUAUAGUAUGAUUUUAUUAGUGCAUGAAAAAUUUGGUGAGCUAAUUUUUAAGGUUUUCUAGCCCAAUUUCGAAAGAGGACUAAAUCGCAUAAAAGGCAAAAGUUGUAUUCUAGUACCUAAAUGAGUUAAAUAACUAAAGAACUUAAAUUGAGGGCUUUUAAAGGGCAAUUUCACCCUUUUUAUUAGUGUUGGCCGGCCAUGUGAAUGAUUUUAAGCAAAUGGUCAAAGUAUUAGGUGGACGAUGUCAUGAUUUGGUGAUAAAAUAAUGCCUAAAAGCCUAACUAUCAUUUCUUUCUUCUCCAUAUCUAUUCUCCACCGAAAAUAUAAAAAAAAAUGGAGUUUUGAAGGCUGAAAACUUUCAGCAACUAAAAGCCCUCAUAAGUAAGUGAUCCCCACACCCUUUGUUGAUGAUUUUUGCAUUUUUGAGACCCUUGAAGCAUGAGUUUUCAAAUGAGGGUGAUAUCUUGCAAAAUGGUCAAGAGUUUAAAGUGUUUCCAUGAAAGGAUUUGUGAUGUUUAUUGAGUUUUUAUGGAGAAAUAUGCCUAGUUGUGUUAUAAACAACUUUUGUAAAAGGUAUUAGCACGAAAACACCUAAAGGGACUAUUUUGCAUAAGUUGUAAAAUAGUUAGUAAGCAUGUGAAAUAGUGAGAAUUUCAAGUUGCUAUAAGAUUAAAAAUAGUUUAGUUAGGCCUAAGGUACAAAGAAAUUUGAUGAAAAUCGAUUUUCGAGCAUAGGGGCAAAAUGGUCAUUUUACCAAAGAUAUGAAUUUAUAAUUGCCUAAUUGUAAUUAGUGACUAAAUGAGUGUAUAUUUCUAUUCUAGAUCAAGAUUUACCAAAUCCGAACCUAGAUCGGAGGAAGGCUAAGCAAACCGACUAAACCGAAUAGCCAAGUACUUUUUGUAAACCGAGUGUUAUCAAGCUAGCUUAAAGAUCCCUUAAAGUCAGAGAUAUCGAUCACACUAUCAGCUGCAAUACUUGGUAUAGUUUGAUUUAUAUUUUUGAAAGUGGCAUGUAUAGGGCUUGACUAGGAUGUUGUAUUAAGAGAAUGAUUCAUGUAUUUUGGCUUAAGUCAAAGGCCCUUCAUUUUGUAAUCAAGCCUGGAAUAAUGGCUAUUAUUCAUUUUGAUGAAUGCAUAUAAUGUUCUUUCUAUA